rnacentral:rRNA from 1 species
AACGAACGCUGGCGGCAUGCCUAACACAUGCAAGUCGAACGAGACCUUCGGGUCUAGUGGCGCACGGGUGCGUAACGCGUGGGAACCUGCCCUUAGGUUCGGAAUAACUCCCCGAAAGGGGUGCUAAUACCGGAUAAUGUCUUCGGACCAAAGAUUUAUCGCCUUUGGAUGGGCCCGCGUUGGAUUAGCUAGUUGGUAGGGUAAAAGCCUACCAAGGCGACGAUCCAUAGCUGGUCUGAGAGGAUGAUCAGCCACACUGGGACUGAGACACGGCCCAGACUCCGACGGGAGGGAGCAGUAGAGAAUAUUGGACAAUGGGCGAAAGCCUGAUACAGCAAUGCCGCGUGAGUGAGGAAGGCCUUAGGGUUGUAAAGCUCUUUUACCCGGGAUGAUAAUGACGGUACCGGGAGAAUAAGCGCCGGCUAACUCCGUG